rnacentral:tRNA from 1 species
GCCUUCGUGGUGUAGUGGUCAGCACGCUCGAUGCGUAACCGAGAGGUUUGUGGUUCGAGUCCCGGCGGAGGCG